UCGCUGUGGCGCGGCUAUCAUGCAGUCGAGCGACAGAUGAGAAGCUUGCUUCUCUGAUGUUAGCGGCGGACGGGUGAGUAACACGUGGGUAACCUACCUAUAAGACUGGGAUAACUCCGGGAAACCGGGGCUAAUACCGGAUAAUAUUUUGAACCGCAUGGUUCAAUAGUGAAAGACGGUUUCGGCUGUCACUUAUAGAUGGACCCGCGCCGUAUUAGCUAGUUGGUAAGGUAACGGCUUACCAAGGCGACGAUACGUAGCCGACCUGAGAGGGUGAUCGGCCACACUGGAACUGAGACACGGUCCAGACUCCUACGGGAGGCAGCAGUAGGGAAUCUUCCGCAAUGGGCGAAAGCCUGACGGAGCAACGCCGCGUGAGUGAUGAAGGUCUUCGGAUCGUAAAACUCUGUUGUUAGGGAAGAACAAAUUUGUUAGUAACUGAACAAGUCUUGACGGUACCUAACCAGAAAGCCACGGCUAACUACGUGCCAGCAGCCGCGGUAAUACGUAGGUGGCAAGCGUUAUCCGGAAUUAUUGGGCGUAAAGCGCGCGUAGGCGGUUUCUUAAGUCUGAUGUGAAAGCCCACGGCUCACCGUGGAGGGUCAUUGGAAACUGGGAAACUUGAGUGCAGAAGAAGGAGAGUGGAAUUCCAUGUGUAGCGGUGAAAUGCGCAAAGAUAUGGAGGAACACCAGUGGCGAAGGCGGCUCUCUGGUCUGUAACUGACGCUGAUGUGCGAAAGCGUGGGGAUCAAACAGGAUUAGAUACCCUGGUAGUCCACGCCGUAAACGAUGAGUGCUAAGUGUUAGGGGGUUUCCGCCCCUUAUUGCUGCACCUAACGCAUUAAGCACUCCGCCGGGGGAGUACGACCGCAAGGUUGAAACUCAAAGGAAUUGACGGGGACCCGCACAAGCGGGGGAGCAUGUGGUUUAAUUCAAAGCACCGCGAAAAACCUUACCAAAUCUUGACAUCCUUUGACCGCUCUAAAAAUAGAGUCUUCCCCUUCGGGGGACAAAGUGACAGGUGGUGCAUGGUUGUCGUCAGCUCGUGUCGUGAGAUGUUGGGUUAAGUCCCGCAACGAGCGCAACCCUUAAGCUUAGUUGCCAUCAUUAAGUUGGGCACUCUAGGUUGACUGCCGGUGACAAACCGGAGGAAGGGGGGGAUGACGUCAAAUCAUCAUGCCCCUUAUGAUUGGGGC
rnacentral:rRNA from 2 species